rnacentral:rRNA from 1 species
CUACGGGAGGCACCAGUGGGGAAUUUUGGACAAUGGGCGCAAGCCUGAUCCAGCAAUGCCGCGUGCAGGAAGAAGGCCUUCGGGUUGUAAACUGCUUUUGUACGGAGCGAAAAGGCUCUCUCUAAUACAGGGGGCUCAUGACGGUACCGUAAGAAUAAGCACCGGCUAACUACGUGCCAGCAGCCGCGGUAAUACGUAGGGUGCAAGCGUUAAUCGGAAUUACUGGGCGUAAAGCGUGCGCAGGCGGUUUUGUAAGACAGGCGUGAAAUCCCCGGGCUCAACCUGGGAAUGGCGCUUGUGACUGCAAGGCUGGAGUGCGGCAGAGGGGGAUGGAAUUCCGCGUGUAGCAGUGAAAUGCGUAGAUAUGCGGAGGAACACCGAUGGCGAAGGCAAUCCCCUGGGCCUGCACUGACGCUCAUGCACGAAAGCGUGGGGAGCAAACAGGAUUAGAUACCCUCGUAGUC